AAAGCACUCUUUGAAUUAGAACUGAAACAGAAAAGACUACCAGUACAUCGAAAUGAUUAAAGAAGUGUGAUAAUGGAUUUCCUGGAGCUCAAAAGUGUAUGUGCUUGGUUUGACAAUUUUAGCUAAGAUUGAGGUAGAAAAAGAUAUAAUUCUGGAGGCCAAUGUUCAUUCUCUGCUUUUUCUCACCAAACAAGAAAACCCAUGGUUUUGCUCUGGUAUUCCCAAGCAGGAAAAAGCAAAACAAAAUUAUACCUGGUAAAGGGGUUAGUGAGACACUUCUCAAUUGUUUUCUAGAAUGGAAAGGUUUCAGUUAUAAAAUCCAUAAUUGUUUUCAAGAGUGCAGUUUGAUGUAUAAGAUUUCAGACUUCUUAAAUAGGUACCUUAUAAUUCUUUAAUUUUUCUUCCAUUUUUGAGUCAAGACAGUGUGAUGAUUUUUACAACAAAGUAGAUCUGGUGUUGUAGGUAUUUUCCAUAUGUUAAUUCUCUGAUAAGAUGGCAAAUAUGUCAAUUAAUACUGCUUAUUGGAAUGAAUCACAUGAUAAUAAAACUCUAAUUACUAUUUAUAUUGAUUGUAUUUACUAAUGUAAUGUUUUGUCAAUAUGUCACCCCCAAAUCCAC
rnacentral:lncRNA from 1 species